GUAGGGAAUAUUGGGCAAUGGAUGCAAGUCUGACCCAGCCAUCCCGCGUGCCGGAAGAAGGCCCUCAGGGUUGUAAACGGCUUUUGACGGUGAAGAAUCGACAGGAUGCGUCCUGUUUUGACGGUAGCCGUUGAAUAAGCACCGGCUAACUCCGUGCCAGCAGUCGCGGUAAUACGGAGGGUGCGAGCGUUGUCCGGAUUUAUUGGGUUUAAAGGGUGCGUAGGCUGGAAGGUCAGUCAGCGGUGAAAAGCUGUCGCUUAACGAUAGUCUUGCCGCAGAUACUUCCUUUCUUGGAUGAGGAGGAGGCCACUGGAACGGAUGGUGUAGCGGUGAAAUGCAUAGAUAUCAUCCAGAACACCGAUUGCGAAGGCAGGUGGCUGUACCUUAAUCGACGCUGAUGCACGAAAGCAUGGGGAGCAAACAGGAUUAGAAACCCUGGUAGUCC
rnacentral:rRNA from 1 species